rnacentral:other from 1 species
GUUAAGAUGUGAUCUUGCUUCCUUAUACAAUUUUGAGAGGUUAAUAAGAAGGAAGUAGUGCUAUCUUAAUAAUUAGGUUAACUAUUUAGUUUUACUGUUCAGGAUGCCUAUUGGCAGCCCCAUAAUAUCCAGGACACCCUCUCUGCUUCUUAUAUGAUUAGGUUGUCAUUUAGAAUAAGAAAAUAACCUGCUAACUUUCAA